UACAGAGGGUGCAAGCGUUAAUCGGAAUUACUGGGCGUAAAGCGUGCGUAGACGGUUAUGUAAGUCAGAUGUGAAAGCCCCGGGCUUAACCUGGGAAUUGCGUUGGAGACUGCAAGGCUGGAGUCUGGCAGAGGGGGGUAGAAUUCCACGUGUAGCAGUGAAAUGCGUAGAGAUGUGGAGGAACACCGAUGGCGAAGGCAGCCCCCUGGGUCAAGACUGACGCUCAUGCACGAAAGCGUGGGGAGCAAACAGG
rnacentral:rRNA from 1 species